UCUAAAAUAAAAUUAACUAGUAAUAAAAAUUUUAGGCCUUUUAAUUAAAUUAUGCAAAAAUUAUAAAAAUUUUAAGUGGCGGGAUGGGGUCAGGACGGAUGUAGUAAUCCUAUACCCUGUACUCGACGUUUGGUUAUAAGGGAAAACCCAUACCCAGUCAACUCGGGUAUUACUCAUCAAAGUCAGGACGUGUAUGAGUUUUCUUGUCAUGUCUACUUAUAGAUAAUUCCUGACCUAUAGAUAAAGGUAUAAUGUAACGUUAUAAAUUGUUUGUUGGGGCUAGAUUGUCUGCGCUCUUGUAGUAGGGUUGACACGUGUCUCCUCGUGCCAGGUAGGAUGGCACGUUCAUUUUUGUGGAUCAGUUCACAUUCAUUCUAUAAUAAUGAAAAGUCAAAAUAGGGUGAUUGAAUCUUAAAUCCUAUUUUUCACCUACGGUGAAAUGCUUUUUUGUACCGAAGAUUGAAACAGGUAUAGCUUUUGAUAAGAAUGUCCGUUUGAGGCCCAUAAUAUGUUAAAACGCUCGAAAUUGAAAGAGGAAUUCCCUGGCAAAUUCCCAAAGGAGAUUUGGACAACUCAUUUUUCCAAUAAACGCAUUUAACAUCUAACCACCCAAAUUUUAAUCUUAAAUCCUAUUUUUGAGGUACUUAGAGGCAUUUUUUGAAAAAAUGAGUUGACCAAAUCCCCUUUGGGAAUUUGCCAGGGAAUUCCUCUUUCAAUUUCGAGCGUUUUGACAUAUUAUGGGCCUCAAACGGAUAUUCCUAUCAAAAGUUACAGUCAUUUAAAGUUUAUAAGUUAAAUUAACUUUUUUUCCAACAUUUUAAUAUAUUAUAAUUAUAGUUCAAAAUCAGUGGUCAAAAUUAUUGUACCCUCUUUUUUUAACCCCAGGCUCCGGCUCCAAAUUAUGAGGGAGCGGGUGGUGUCCCAAAUUUCUAUUUUCCCUCUCGUCUUUUCCCUCCCAUUCGUCUUUUCCCUCUCGUCUUUUCCCUCCCAUUCGUCUUUUCCCUCCCAUUCUCUUCUCCAUGGGCUAGGGUUUAUACCAACGAAACUUUCGACCUCACAACUAUUAUUGCCUUUCCGGUUCAAAUCAAAGUGAGAGAUUAUAAAAUUUUAUUGUUUUUUUUUUGUAAAGUGAAUCAUCCGUUGAUGGUGCAGUGCCGUGGAAAUUUUCCCCCUUAACCCUUCUUUAAUAAUAUUCAUAUUCAUUCUGCCUUUCUUUUUCAAAUUAAUAAUCGUUUCAUUCACCUAUUAUGUUACUGCUUGCUUCCUUUGUUAUUCUGUUGCUAUUAGCAUAUUUCUUCACCUAUUUUUUAUUUGGUGGUUUACAAGUUGUUUUCUCUCUGGAAGACUGCCACUUAAUUGAACUACCUUGGUAAAUUCGAUUUCUCUUUUGCCAUUUUCUUUCUUUAUUAAUCUGAUUAUUAUGCAAAUGAGGUUGUUAUAGUGACCCCAAGGGAGUGUUGUUAUCAAAUGAGGUUAUUAUUACUCUCUUAGCUGGUGUUAAGAGACUAGACUCCUGCAUUAUACUGCUGCUGCCCUACUGGUGCCCAUGUUUUUUAAUUGACUCGAAAAUACAUGAAUAUACAUAGAACUCCCAAUAUGCAAUUCCAUUUCAUUUAAGUUACCGAUAUUGGUCCUUUAUUUUUCAUUUAGACUUUUACAAUACUAAAUGCUUAGCUAUCCUUUGUUUCACUUUCAUAAUCUCUCCUCAUUUUUCCUUCUUUGCAGUUCAAUGUCAUUAUUCGUGUGUGCAUAUCAUACCUUUCUUUCAGACAUAUCUUUCAUAGGCUCAUUGAGAGACCUUCACCAUGAUUCAAUACGUUUAUGGCGUGGGUCCUUAUGUCUUGGAGCCAAGAUUCUGCACUUUCUCCUCCUUCCUCCUAACUACCACAACUACCACGUAAGGUAUAUAUUUCAGUCCAUUCCAUCCUCUCUUAGGUCCUUCUCAACCAAGUGCGUCACUAUAAUGCUUUCUUUCUUCUAUUUCGUGCCUUAAUUAUACUCAUCCUUGCUUUCCUUUUUAAUAUCUUUGAAGGUGGUAUCUUGUUCAUACUUGUCAUUUCAUAAGAACCAAAAGGUAAACAAAAUCAGAAAACCUUUCCCUUUCAGUAUGUCGAAUCCUGUUUUCUUCUGCAAGUGAAUUUUAGGCUGCCAAAGGCACUUCAAAAACCAUUUGGUUUGACAGGUCAUACAUGUUAAUCGGACAUCUGUGUUGAAAGUUAUGCAGAUAGCUAGUUCAACAAGUAAAACACACAUGGACCUUCAACGGGCUUCGGCGAACCAUCACUCCCCUUGCCGACCCAGGUAACAUGUGUGUCAGAUAACCUAUGAUAUGUCUCUGUAGGUAAUUAGAGUUAGUUGGGAGCAUCUCGCUCCCAACAACUUAUACCAGCUUUGUUUCAUAACAUACUCAAAUUGCUCUAUUUUGUGUAUCAUGAUUAGCUUGUGACAUUGGAAUUAAGAUUUGGGGAUUUAAAAUGGAUCACCGAAUGGCUGCUGAGCUAGAACGAAGUUAUAGAGCUACUUUGCAGGCCAACAUUAGGGGAUUUUACAUUCCUCCCUGACUCGAGAAUCUAUAUUCAUUUCUCAUGCUUCUAUAGUUAAUUGUGGGUACAAAUUUCUCAUACUUUGCAGGCCAACAUUAGGGGAUUUUACAUUCCUCCCUGACUCGAGAAUCUGUAUUCAUUUCUCAUUUCUCAUUUCUCAUUUCUCAUAAAAAUAUGUCAAGUGGAAUUUUCUGUGCCUUGUUAUGUUGUGGGUACAAAUUUUGUCCUUCUACAGUUAAUUGUGUCAUACAUUCUUUUAUUCAUGCUUCCCCUAGGUGGUCUCGUAAUUUUUCCAGAUGUGUACAAUAUUUGACGAACAUAAUGGCAAAAUAGGACGAAGCUGGCAGCAGAAUUAUCUGCAUAUGGCUUGCGGCCUGCGGGUUGAGUUUUUUUAAAUCACCUAAAGCUUAAGCCUCAGGUAAAGUGAGAAGAAUUGGUAUAAACCUGGUGUAAGGAAGUACAGGUAAGGACUACAGUAAACUAUAUACCUAAUAUUACAAACUUACAUCGGUAUGACUGAAAAGAGUCGUAAGUAAAUGAACCUGAGACUUAAAAUGCAUAGAAUACAAACCUGACAUGUAAAUUAUUGUUUUAAUAUGGUAUGGUAUGGUAUGGUACUGUAUGGUACUGUAUGGUAUGGUAUGGUAUGGUAUGGUAUGUUAUACAUCAAAUGGUAGCUAAUAAACUAUAUGCGUCUUCUAGUGUAGGAGAUCAAGGAAUUGGAUUGAUUGGUACAAACCAAGAUGAAUGCCGUCUUUAAAUGUUAUCCUACUUUGAUGCGGUGUUGAUGUUCAUAAAACCCAAUUGUGUGCACCAAUAAUUCUUGACACGUUAUGCAUCUACUUUAACAUGAUUCCGUUUUCAAUAUAAUUGACAAAUAAUUGUUGAUAUACUUGAGACUCUGGAUGGAUGCAUGCUAUAGUUAUUUACUUGCAAACUGUUUGGGAACUUUCAUAUAACGGCAAUUGGUGUUACCUUAAUCGCAUUAUCAAAUAACCAAAUACCAAAUUAUUCCAGGUAAUUAGGGAGAUGUUAGUUUUUGAGCACGAGCACCCAGCGUGGAUACUAAGCUUUAAGAGACAUUUUGGAAACCCUGGCCAUUCUUUACAAAAUCCAAUCAAUUCAUUGAUAUUUGAGAAAGCCCUUUUGAAAAUUGGCCAAGGCAAGGACUACGUGUCCUCAGUCUCUGUUUUGAUAACUCUAGUAUAGUCACCUCAGCAGUUAUGUCUAUGCUAUUUUUGGUAGGUGUAUGUGAUUGGGUAAAAUUUAUUAUAGUGUUAGGUUCGACCUAAUUACUUUAUUUGGAUGAAUGUAUUUUAACUACAAUUUAUUUCAUUCUACAAACUUAUGCUUAUUUAUUUUUUGCUUUUCAUUAUUUCAUCCUAAAUUUUUAUUUAAAGAUUUAAAUGUUUUUACUUUUUCAAAAGGACACGUUUUCUUUUUAGUCUUUGAAUUCACAACAUAUUUCUUUUUACUAUUGCAUAGCAUAAGCCAAACAUAGAAUGAGAGAUUUCAAAUUUAUGACAACUUGUGUGUGUCAAAAUUUGAUAUUCUAUACUACAAUUUGAACUACACUUCUGGUAGUUAAAACUGUCAUAAUUAAGUAAGUAAAAAAAUAUUUAAA